rnacentral:rRNA from 1 species
UACGAAGGUGGCAAGCGUUGUUCGGAUUUACUGGGCGUACAGGGAGCGUAGGCGGUUGGAUAAGCCCUCCGUGAAAUCUCCAGGCUUAACCUGGAAAGUGCAGAGGGGACUGUUCAGCUAGAGGAUGGGAGAGGAGCGCGGAAUUCCCGGUGUAGCGGUGAAAUGCGCAGAUAUCGGGAAGAACACCCGUGGCGAAGGCGGUUCUCUGGGACGGUACUGACGCUGAGACGCGAAAGCGUGGGGAGCGAACAGG